AUGAAGCAUAUAAGAGAAACCUCAGAGAUAUGCAAGGCCGCAGAGCUAAACAGAAACAUUUUCGACGGCUCGAAUGCGCUAAGUUCUAACCCUGAAACCGUGGAGGGUGAAAACAAGCUGAGGGAAGCGACGAAGAAGAUCAUUAACCGUUGCCGCAAGCUAGCGGGCAUGCUUGGGUGCGCUGCCUUGGUUGACGUGCAUGUUCCUCCUCCUGGUGGGUCGACACGUGCCCUAGCUUCAUCAAGCCACACCGGAGGAGGUUCCUCGAGCCAUGUCGCCUCGUCAUCUCGCCCUGUUAACGAGACCGAGGAAGAAGAGGAAGUGGACGAGGAGGAAGAGGAAGAAGAGGGAGAAGAGGAAGGAGGUGAUGAUGGAGAAGGUGAUGAGGAGGAGUACGACGACGAUGAUGGACCUCAACCGACUCAGCCAACCCAACCGGACGAGGGCCACUCAAAGACAAACGAGGAGCGUGCCGCCAAGAGGGGGAGGGGGAGGAACUAG
rnacentral:rRNA from 1 species